CGCGGAAUAGAGCAGCUCGGUAGCUCGUCGGGCUCAUAACCCGAAGGUCAUAGGUUCAAAUCCUAUUUCCGCAACCA
rnacentral:tRNA from 3 species